rnacentral:rRNA from 1 species
AUUGAACGCUGGCGGCAUGCUUUACACAUGCAAGUCGAACGGCAGCGCGGGCUUCGGCCUGGCGGCGAGUGGCGAACGGGUGAGUAAUGCAUCGGAACGUGCCCAGUAGUGGGGGAUAGCCCGGCGAAAGCCGGAUUAAUACCGCAUACGACCUGAGGGUGAAAGCGGGGGACCGAAAGGCCUCGCGCUAUUUGAGCGGCCGAUGUCGGAUUAGCUAGUUGGUGGGGGAAAGGCUUACCAAGGCGACGAUCCGUAGCUGGUCUGAGAGGACGACCAGCCAAACUGGGACUGAGACACGGCCCAGACUCCUACGGGAGGCAGCAGUGGGGAAUUUUGGACAAUGGGGGAAACCCUGAUCCAGCCAUGCCGCGUGCGGGAAGAAGGCCUUCGGGUUGUAAAACGCUUUUGUUCGGGAAGAAAACCUCUGGGCUAAAACCCCGGGGGGAUGACGGUACCGGAAGAAUAAGCACCGGCUAACUACGUG